UCAAUCAUUGAUAUACCCUCAAAAUAUUCCACUCUAUAAUUGAACCUAUUUCACUGUGUGGUAGUGAAGUAUGGGGCCCUCUUAUAAAUCAAGACUUUGAAAAAUGGGACAAACACCCAAUUGAAAGCCUGCAUACUGAGAUUUGUAAGAGCAUUCUCAGAGUCCAGAGGAACACCCCCAACAAUGGAUGUCGAGCUGAAUUAGAUUCAGAUCCAAAAAAGAGCCAUCAAAUUGUACCAACACCUCAGAGCCAGCGAGCCCAGCUCCUACCACUACAAAGCCCUGCAAUGCCAAGAGGAGAGCAAAGACAGGAGUCCCCUCAGCCAGCUGGUCCACYGGCUCAGCUCCAACAGCACAGGGCACCAAGACCGUCCUCACACAUCGGGCCCCACCAAAUUAUAACUAAAGAAAAAGACAGUUGCAUCAACUAUUGGACAUCUGCAACCAAAACCCAAAGCAAACUCCAAUGCUAUUUGUCCCUAAACAGACAAUACUCCAGAUUAGCUGAGCUCUGUCACCGACCCCAGCCUGAGGAAAACGUUGACUAUGUCCAGACUCAGCAACCACAGCCUGAGAGACAGGCCGACACAGACAGACGUGUCUGCUCUGUCCACACAGACAGUCUUGUUCCAGUUCUCAGUGUCGUUCGACCUCCUCGGUCUUUCAGUCUAAAGCAAAAUUGGUGAUUGACGAUGGGACAGGUGAGGCUCACAUCUGGUUCUCAGGAGCUCUGGUUCGCCCUCUGCUGGGAUUGGAUGAUUCUCAGUGGGAGGGGCUUCAGAGGGCUCUCAGGGUCAAAGGUCACAUCAGAGUGUACCCGCGAGCACGGAGCGUGGUGUGUGACGAUGACGACCCUCUCCUCCACUUCCUGUCGGCCGUGUGCAGCAGCGAUGUGUGUCGGCCGCUCUCUGUCACCUGCAGGAAACACAACAGCCAGAGACCAGAGGAGACGAGGAGAUUCAGUCGAGGAGACAGAGACUUCAUGACCAGGAUGACUCCGCCUCUCCAGCUCACCUGUCUGACUGUCACACCUGACAUCACUGUACCUAAUGUCAUGUGACAUCAUGUGACCUGUACCUGACGUCAUGUGAUGUCACGUGACCUGUACCUGACGUCAUGUGACCUGUACCUGAUGUCAUGUGAUGUCACGUGACCUGUACCUGA